rnacentral:rRNA from 1 species
AACGAACGCUGGCGGCAGGCCUAACACAUGCAAGUCGAGCGGAUGAGGGGAGCUUGCUUCCUGAUUCAGCGGCGGACGGGUGAGUAAUGCCUAGGAAUCUGCCUGGUAGUGGGGGACAACGUUUCGAAAGGAACGCUAAUACCGCAUACGUCCUACGGGAGAAAGUGGGGGAUCUUCGGGCCUCACGCUAAUAGAUGAGCCUAGGUCGGAUUAGCUAGUUGGUGGGGUAACGGCUCACCAAGGCGACGAUCCGUAGCUGGUCUGAGAGGAUGAUCAGCCACACUGGAACUGAGACACGGUCCAGACUCCUACGGGAGGCAGCAGUGGGGAAUAUUGGACAAUGGGCGAAAGCCUGAUCCAGCCAUGCCGCGUGUGUGAAGAAGGUCUUCGGAUUGUAAAGCACUUUAAGUUGGGAGGAAGGGUUGUAAGCUAAUAUCUUGCAGCUUUGACGUUACCAACAGAAUAAGCACCGGCUAACUCUGUGCCAGCCGCCGCCGUAA